rnacentral:lncRNA from 1 species
UUCUCUACCUCUUCCCUCAUUUCCCGUCUGCCCAGCUUUGUGUGAAACCAGACGACAAAGGGUGUUCGGAUUAAGAGCCAGAUGUUAGAGAAAUUUCUGGAAUGUUCCAGGUACACCUAUGUCCUCCAACACGAAAGUUAAAGCAUGUCCUUGAGACUUCUCAGACACCACUGCCACUCUCUUAGAUGAAGCUGGCCAGGACGCCUUCAAGAGAAGGAAUCAGAACUUCUGAUUUUGUGCUAAAGCUUCGUCCCAUGAUGUGGGCCAAUUAUCUUUGGUAAACAAAGGCAACUGGAGGAACGAGAGGAGGAUUUUGAGCUCCCCCUACAGCUCCCAGCGUUGUUGGUGUGACAUUCAGGAUGCCUAGCAUGCAUGUGAUCAGCAGAGCAGAUGAACUGGAAGAAUGAAAUCCUAUUCUUUCACUCAGCAUACAGCACUGUUACAG